rnacentral:rRNA from 1 species
GACGAACCAUCCAAACGUUAUUCGGAAUUACUGGGCUUAAAGGGUGCGUAGGCUGCGCAGAAAGUUGGGUGUGAAAUCCCUCGGCUUAACCGAGGAACUGCGCCCAAAACUACUGUGCUUGAGGGAGACAGAGGUGAGCGGAACUUAGGGUGGAGCGGUGAAAUGCGUUGAUAUCCUAAGGAACACCCGUGGCGAAAGCGGCUCACUGGGUCUCUUCUGACGCUGAUGCACGAAAGCUAGGGGAGCGAAC